AGUAGGGCCUGCCCACUGAAGUAUUGAAGGGCCGCAGUAUCUUAACUGUGCAAAGGUAGCAUAAUCAUUAGUUUUUUAAUUGAAAGCUGGUAUGAAAGGUUUGAUGAGGAAUUAGCUGUUUCAGUAUUAAUUUUUUAAAACUUUAUUUUUAAGUUAAAAAGCUUAAAUAAUUAUAAAAGACGAGAAGACCCUAUAGAGUUUUAUUAUUAUUAUUAUAUUAAAUAUAAGGGAUUUUAUUAUUUAUUAUUUUAAAAUAAUUCAAUUGGGGUGAUUGGAAAAUUUAAUUAACUUUUCUUAUAUAAAAUCAUUAAUUUAUGAAUAAUUGAUCCAUUUAAAUGAUUAUAAGAGU
rnacentral:rRNA from 1 species